CCAGUAUUCCCAGUAUCCCUCUCCCAGUACCCCCAGUAUCCCCAGUGCCCCCAUCCCAGUAUUCCCAGUACCCCCCCCCCGCUGCCAUCACCGUGACGAGGCCACCAGCAGAUCCAAGACUUUUAUUUGGGAUCCUCCGGAAUCUUCUGGAACCCCCCGGAACCCUCCAGGAUCCUCUGGAAUCCUCUGGAACCCUUCCGGAUCCUCUGGAAUCCUCCGGGAUCUUCCAAAAUCCUCUGGAAUCCCCCGGGAUCUUCCAGGAUCCUUUGGAACCCUCCGGAACCUUCCGUGAUCCUCCAGAAGCCUCAAGAACCUUCCAGGACCCUCCAGGAUCUUCCGGGAUCCUCUGGAACCCUCCAGGACCCUUUGGGAUCCUCCAGGAUCCUCCAGAACCCUCUGAGACCUUCUGGGAUCCUCCAGGAUCUUCCGGGAUCCUCCGGAACCUUCUGGGACCCCUCCCCUAUUUCCGGCACCCCCCGCAGCCGUUCCCGUCCCUGGAGCCGGAUCCCGGAUCGGUUCCGGCCCCGGAUCCCUGGGAGGAUCCCUGGGAAGAUCCAGAGCCGGAUCCCGAACCGGAUCCCACUCCAGGUCCCAGUCCGGAUCCGGAGCCAGAUCCCGAACCGGAUCCCACUCCGGGUCCCAAUCCGGAUCCCGAGCCGGAUCCCAGUCUGGAUCCCAGACCGGAUCCCUGUGAUGAUCCCAGUCUGGAUCCCAGACCGGAUCCCAUUCCGGAUCCCGUUCCGGAUCCCGGUCCCCGGCGGAUCGGGAAGCUCCCCCCGAUCCGGGCCGGGUGCUGCAGCCCCGGCACAAAGGGGAUCCCGGGGUUUUUGUAGCCGGGGCGCUGCCGGGAUCCCCCGGAGGAUCCCAAAUCCCCCCCGGAGAAUCCCGACCCCCCGUAGGAUCCUGAUCCUCCUCCGUAGGAUCCCGAAUUUCCUCCGUAGGAUCCCGAGUUCCCGGCGGAUCCCGAGUUUCCAUAGGAUCCCGAAUUUCCAUAAGAUCCCGAAUUCCCGGCGGAUCCCGAUCCCCCGUAGGAUCCCGAAUUCCCGGCGGAUCCCGAUCCCCCGGCGGAUCCCGAGUUCCCGCAGGCUCCGGAUCCCAGCUGGGGGCUGAGGAAUCCCAGGGGAUCCUUGCAGGGAUCG
rnacentral:lncRNA from 1 species